UACGUGUGGAGCAAGCGUUGUUCGGAAUUAUUGGGCAUAAAGGGCGCGUAGGUGGAGUGUCAUGUCCGUGGUGAAAUCCCCCGGCUUAACCGGGGAAUUGCCGCGGAAACUGGCAUUCUAGAGUGAAACAGGGGUGAGUGGAACUCUGGGUGUAGCGGUGAAAUGCGUAGAUAUCCAGGGGAACGCCGGUGGCGAAAGCGGCUCACUGGGUUUUAACUGACACUGAGGCGCGAAAGCGUGGGGAGCAAAC
rnacentral:rRNA from 1 species